ACACCUUUGGUGAAGUGGUUAUCAUGCUUGCCUUCCAAGCAAGCGGCUCGGGUUCGAUUCCCGAACGGUGUA
rnacentral:tRNA from 1 species